GGCCCUGCCCCCUUUCUAUGUCCCCGCCCCAUUUUAUCUGGCCCCGCCCCCUUUUCUCUGGCCCCGCCCCGCAGUGUCUCAGCCCCGCCUUCACCCCAUGGCGCUGCGCCGGGGGCGGUGGCUGUGGGCGGCUGCGCCGAUUGCCGAUCCUCAUUGAGCGACAGGGAGAGCAGCCAUGAGCGCCGGGGGGCGGAGCUCUGUCCCGCUCCCUGCCAGGGGGCGGGGCUUUGCGCUGCCUGUCUGCGAUGCCGGGCUGUGGUUGGUGCGCUCCGCCCGGUGGGCGGGGCCUCGGUGGGCGGUGCUUGGAGGGCGGCCCGGCUGGACCACGGGAAGGUCCUGACGUGCGCCGGGGGCGGGAAAUGGAACUUCCUGCGGUGCCCCCAGGAGGGGGGGGAGGGGACGUGUGGGGCGGGGCCACGGUGAGGGGCGGGGCCUGGGGGGUGGGGGGUCUCUAUGGGGUCUCUAUGGGUCUCUAUGGGGUCUCUGUGGGUCUCUGUGGGGUCUCUCUAUCUGCCUCUUGGGUCUCUAUGGGGUCUCUAUGGGUCUCUAUGGGGUCUCUGUGGGUCUCUAUGGGUCUCUAUGGGUCUUCUGUGGGUCCUCUAUGGGGUCCUGUGGGUCUCUUAUGGGGUCUCUGUGGGGUCUCUAAUGGGUCUCUAUGGGGUCUCUCUGUGGGUCUCUAUGGGGUCUCUGUGGGUCUCUAUGGGGUCUCUGUGGGGUCUCUAUGGGUCUCUAUGGGGUCUCUCUAUGGGUCUCUAUGGGUCUCUAUGGGUCUCUAUGGGUCUCUGUGGGUCUCUAUGGGUCUCUAUGGGUCUUCUGUGGGUCUCUAUGGGGUCUCUGUGGGUCUCUAUGGUCUCUAUGGGGUCUCUAUGGGGUCUCUGUGGGUCUCUAUGGGUCUCUAUGGGGUCUCUAUGGAUCUCUAUGGGUCUCUAUGGGUCUCUGUGGGGUCUCUAUGGGGUCUCUCUGUGGGUCUCUAUGGGGUCUCUGUGGGUCUCUAUUGGUCUCUAUGGGUCUCUCUAUGGGUCUCUAUGGGGUCUCUGUGGGGUCUCUCUGUGGGUCUCUGUGGGGUCUCUUUAUGGGUCUCUAUGGGGUCUCUAUGGGUCUCUAUGGGGUCUCUCUGUGGGUCUCUAUGGGGUCUCUGUGGGUCUCUAUGGAUCUCUAUGGGGUCUCUAUGGGUCUCUGUGGGUCUCUAUGGGGUCUCUAUGGAUCUCUAUGGGUCUCUAUGGGUCUCUGUGGGGUCUCUAUGGGGUCUCUCUGUGGGUCUCUAUGGGGUCUCUGUGGGGUCUCUAUUGGUCUCUAUGGGGUCUCUCUAUGGGUCUCUAUGGGGUCUCUGUGGGGUCUCUCUAUGGGUCUCUGUGGGGUCUCUUUAUGGGUCUCUAUGGGGUCUCUAUGGGUCUCUAUGGGGUCUCUCUGUGGGUCUCUAUGGGGUCUCUGUGGGUCUCUAUGGAUCUCUAUGGGGUCUCUAUGGGGUCUCUGUGGGUCUCUAUGGGUCUCUAUGGGGUCUCUAUGGAUCUCUAGGGUCUCUACGGGUCUCUGUGGGGUCUCUAUGGGGUCUCUCUGUGGGUCUCUAUGGGGUCUCUGUGGGGUCUCUAUUGGUCUCUAUGGGGUCUCUCUAUGGGUCUCUACUGGGUCUCUGGUGGGUCUCUCUAUGGGUCUCUGUGGGGUCUCUUAUGGGUCUCUAUGGGGUCUUAUGGGUUCUAUGGGUCCUCUCUGUGGGUCCUCUAUGGGGUCUCUGUGGGUCUCUAUGGUCUCUAUGGGGUCUCUAUGGAUCUCUAUGGUCUUAUGGGUCUCUGUGGGGUCUCUAUGGGGUUUCUCUGUGGGUCUCUAUGGGGUCUCUGUGGGGUCUCUAUUGGUCUCUAUGGGGUCUCUCUAUGGGUCUCUAUGGGGUCUCUGUGGGGUCUCUCUAUGGGUCUCUGUGGGGUCUCGAUGGGGUCUCUAUGGGGUCUCUAUGGAGUCUCUGUGGGUCUCUGUGGGGUCUCUAUGGAGUCUCUCUAUGGGUUUCUAUGGGGUCUGUCUGGGUCUCGAUGAGGUCUCUAUGGGUCUCUAUGGGGUCCCUAUGUCUCUUUAUGGCGUCUCUGUGGGGUCUCUAUGGGUUCUCUAUGGGGUCUCUCAGGGGACGUGUGGGGCGGGGCCACGGUGAGGGGCGGGGCCUGGGGGGCGGGGGGGGCUCUAUGGGGUGCUGUGGGGUCUCUAUGGGGUCCCUAUGGUCCCUAUGGGUCUCUAUGGGUCCCUAUGUCUCUCCAUGGGGUCUCUGUGGGUCUCUGUGGGGUCUCUGUGGGGUCUCUAUGGGUCUCUAUGGGGUCUCUCUAUGGGUCUCUAUGGGGUCUCUGUGGGAUCUCUAUGGGUCUCUAUGGGGUCUCUCUAUGGAUCUCCAUGGGGUCUCUGUGGGGUCUCUCUAUGGGUCUCUGUGGGGUCUCUAUGGAUCUCUAUGGGGUCUCUGUGGGGUCUCUAUGGAUCUCUAUGGGGUCUCUAUGGGGUCUCUCUAUGGGUCUCUAUGGGUCUCUGUGGGGUCUCUAUGGGGUCUCUGUGGGGUCUCUGUGGGUCUCUAUGGGGUCUCUAUGGGGUCUCUAUGGGGUCUCUGUGGGGUCUCUGUGGGGUCUCUGUGGUCUCUAUGGGGUCUCUAUGGGGUCUCUAUGGGUCUCUGUGGGGUCUCUAUGGGUCUCUAUGGGUCUCUAUGGGGUCUCUGUGGGGUCUCUAUGGGGUUUCUAUGGGGUCUCUCAGAGGACGUGUGGGGAGGGGCCACAGUAAGGGGCGGGGCCUGGGGGGCGGGGGGUCUCUAUGGGGUCUCUAUGGGGCGCUAUGGGGUCUCUAUGGGUCUCUAUGGGGUCUCUAUGGGGCGCUUUGGGGUCUCUGUGGGGUCUCUCUAUCUGCCUCUUGGGUCUCUAUGGGUCUCUAUGGGGUCUCUAUGGGGUCUAUGUGGGGUCUUUAUGGCUCCCUAUGGCUCCCUAUGGGUCUCUAUGGGUCUCUAUUGGUCUCUAUGGGUCCCUAUGAGUUCCUAUGGGUCCUGA
rnacentral:lncRNA from 7 species